UCACAUAAUAACCAAAAGUCAAACAACCAUUGCAAAAGUCUCAUAAAGUCAAACACAUAAGUAAGAUCAACAAAGAGUUUAGAAAUGGUAAUUUCGAAAUGAAUGAGAUCAAUUUUGCUGAUUUUCUGGAGGAGCUGAGGGUCUGGCAGGUUCAGAUGAUGAAGUUCCAAAUGGUGCAGAAAGGAAAGAUCAGUAAUGGCUGCAUGGUCUGACAUGGAAGAGGAGAUGUUGUAUCCAGAAGAAGUAUGAGUGGUCUGAACAUGAAUAAAAGCUGCUUCCUUCCCUUUGCCUCUUGAUGGAGCUUCAGAUGGACUGUUUUCACAGUUAGUGCCUUCAAGAGGAAAGUCUACAGAAGUUGCUACUGAAGGAGCUGCGUCUUUUGCAUUCUAAUCAUGGUCAUUGUUCUUAACAUCUGGAGCAGUGUCUUCUUCAAACUCCUCCUGCAUGUUAUCAUAUUGAGCAUCUUCUUCUUCAAACUCUUCCUGCAUGUUAUCAUCUUCAGCAUUUGCUUGUUGAAACUCCUCAUGCAUUUCUGCUUCAUGUUCAAACUCCCCCUGUCUUCUAGAGGUUUCUUUCUCAACACCUUUCUCAGCAGUGGCCAUUUUCUCUUGCUGAUUUUCCAUGACUACUUUGUUGAUGAUGUCACUAAGUGAAUUCAUCAAAUGGUCCUCCUCUUCUUGCAGUCUCUGAAUUUCAAGCUGAGUGGCAGCAUGUCUGUCUGCACGAGCUUUGUACUUGGCAUCUUGAAUAAUUAGCCAUUGCAUAAACCUUGACUCCUCAAGGCUUCUUUCAUCA